UACGGAGGAUCCAAGCGUUAUCCGGAUUCACUGGGUUUAAAGGGUGCGUAGGUGGAAUGACAAGUCAGUGGUGAAAACCUGCAGCUUAACUGUAGAACUGCCAUUGAUACUGUUAUUCUUGAGUACAUUUGAUGUGAGUGGAAUGUGUCGUGUAGCGGUGAAAUGCUUAGAUAUGGCACAGAACACCAAUUGCGAAGGCAGCUCACAAAACUGUAACUGACACUGAGGCACGAAAGCGUGGGGAUCAAACAGG
rnacentral:rRNA from 1 species